rnacentral:misc_RNA from 1 species
UAAACAUUCGCCAGGGUACUACGAGCGUUAGCUUAAAACCCAAAGGACUUGGCGGUGCCCCAAACCCACCUAGAGGAGCCUGUUCUAUAAUCGAUACCCCCCGCUUUACCUCACCACUUCUUGUCAAUACCGCCUGUAUACCUCCGUCACCAACCUACCCCUUGAGGGAAAUAAAGUAAGUACAAUGAUAUCUUAUCUAAACGUCAGGUCAAGGUGCAGCGUAUGAAGUGGAAAGAAAUGGGCUACAUUUUCUACAUUAGACUACACGAAAGAUUACUAUGAAAUCUAAUCUGAAGGCGGAUUUAACAGUAAAGAGAAACUAGAGUGUUCUCUUUAAACUGGCCCUGGGGCGCGCACACACCGCCCGUCGCCCUCCUCAAUAACUAAUUAAUAAUCUUUAAUAACAAACCUAAGAAUCAGAGGAGGUAAGUCGUAACAUGGUAAGUAUACCGGAAGGUAUGCUUGGAUUAACAAAGUGUAGCUUAAAAAAAGCCUUUCGCUUACACCGAAAUUAUGCCUGUUAAAACCAGGUCACUUUGAGCCAAAACUCUAGCUCACUCACCAAUAAAUAUUUAUAUAACUUAACCUAAAACAUUUAAAUUCUACAGUAUAGGCGAUAGAAAAAGAUUACUGAAGCAAUAAAAAUAGUACCGCAAGGGAAUGAUGAAAUAAAAAUGAAAUAAAUUUUUAAGCACCAUAAAGUAGAGAUUAACACUCG